UUUUUUAAGAGAGAUGGCGCGUCGGUCAUGAAGAUAGGGAAAAAUAAGGCCGCGAAGUUGUUUUCAAGGCGGGGCUUUGAGCGUCGCCUGGCAACGGACUGGUUUUUCCACAGGCCGUGUGAGGCUGUCAACAUGGUCGCACUACAUAUGUAUUAAGCCUCAGUCGUCAGUUUUUCCGGAAGAGCAAAUGGUUUCCGGGUUUCCGUGUGGCGAAUUGGCGUCCAGGCUGUACCCUAUCGGGAACUUCCUGAACGGAGUGAGGGCCCCUAGUUUAUCAUGUUGAGGGAUGCGAGUCACUUGAUACUGAUGAUGAACGACAAAAUGUUCGUUCAGGAACCAAAGGCUGUUCCUGUGACAUCCUCAAUCGAGACCCGUACAAUAACUGCCAUUUCCGCAUCCACUUCGAAAGUCAAUACCGGUACGUUGUUUCAGCUUCUUUUCCCCACAACUGCGCCAGCCGUGCAGAACUCUACUCUUAUUAUUCGUUAUCACCUUAUUAUUAUAUUGUUAUAUUAUCUUAUUAUUCAUUAUUCGGCAGCACCGUCUCCUAGAGAAUGACGUCACCUAUACAAUCUCGACAAGUCUCUCUAAUUCCCCAAAUAUUUUGAUCUUGUUCGCUCUCUUGGCCGUGAAAUCACUCAUUGCCCUUCGUUUCCUGCUUCAACGAAAAUUAGACUUGAAAAUUUUGAAAGUUAUAUGAAUUGAGGAUGAAUUUUCGCUUUUCAAAUCGUAGGAAAUGCAUGCCGCUGUGUUUUUCUGAUACGAUAACGGCUGUCAGCCGACUGUCAAAUUCUUCUUCGACAAGGUGGUUAUUGAAAUGGAUGGCUAAUAUGAUUUUUCUAACUUAAGCAACAUUCAAAUAACUGUAUUCGUCUACCGCCGGAUGCUGGACAGAGACGCAGGCAUAUGCAAAGCCGUUGCCGUUUGGGUGAGGCUAAGCAGCCUAUUGAGCUUGAGGUGGCCGAACAUUAACAAUUUAUCACGCGAUCAGAAGAAAACAUUUAUGGAACAUGGAAACCCGAUCGCUUGCAUUAUCGUAUUACGAGCUACCCGGAAUGCGAGGUAGCAUUUCUCUUUGUCGUCAAUUUUUCUCGCGUUUGCUGUUCAAUCAAUAAUGUUUUGAGCAACAGAUGAAACGGCACAAGAAUAGGCUUCCAAUGGCUUCUAUCAUGAUAGGACAACAGGGCAGUGGAAAUGAGCUUACCUAUCGAACGUAUAAUAGGGGAUUAUUAAACCUAGGUCAUCAGUUCAGCCCGUCUAACCGAUUGAGCCCUGAACGGGUUAUUCCGUGGCGGGGUGGGGACCCCGAUUAGAACCACUCAAGGCAGACCACCAUAUACGUGUUACAUCCAAUUAUGCGUUUCAUAAAUUAAUACUACAAUUUUUUAAAGGUUUACUUUAACAAUAUUAAAGGUCUUGCAUGUGCGUGAAUAAAUAUUCAGGUAAAGAUUAAGUAACGAUCAUUGUUACACAUUAUUUAUCCUUGAGUUUUUAUUCAGGCACAUGCAGGCUUUAUUUAAAUGAGCUAUAUCUAAGAAUGAAUAAAAAAGUGGGAUCAUCGGUCAAAUUACCGGCCAGAGGCACCGGUAAUCCGUGUUGACUCCUAGCUUCCUCCAGGAACCGAGGACAUCCAUGGUCACCUCGCCCCGCCCUAGAUGGGGUGGGUGGGUGGGGCGCCCCGAUAGGAGUCAAUCGGGGCCGAUCGCUAUUUACGUAUUACAUAUGCAUUUUAUCAAAUAAUACUACAAUUUCGUCUAGAUUUAUCGUAAUCCUAUAAAAGAGCGUGAAAAUCCAAAUAAUGUUCAUUUAUUUAGUUUCAAGUAAUGGAAGAAAAUACCCGUAAUCUUCAAAUAGCCGGCUCCAGAAGAUCCUCAGAGUUAAAGUCAUGGUUUAACUUAAGCGGCCUUCAGGGUUAAGACAAGUAAUUUGGCAUGUGAAGCUAACAUUGGCAGGGCUCCCAAUUGGCGCCCCAUCAUCAUCCAUAACCAUACUUGGUGGAAGAUGAGCGAAACCACCAAUUUUUUUCCCGUUCCUUUUCCUAUUCUUUGGCUAACGCAUCAACGAAUAAACCAUAAAGAGAGUUAAGUCUCCAUGCGGAAUAACGACUUGACGUCACUCGCAUUCACAGCCGUCAUAACGUGGAUGCGGGAACUAAAUCCCUGAGAGAUUUUACUUUGGUAAAGAUGGAAGGCUAUGCCGUGGUUAUGCGCCCCAAACUGUUUAUUGUUUCCCUGGGGGUUCCAGCCGUUCUGUGAUUGGCUGAAAUUGGGCAGAAUUAUCGCGUGUAAACUGGGGAACUUUUCGUUUUCGUUUAUUUUUUAUUCGAUUCGCCGUGUUAAACUACGUGUCUGAGCAGAAUUUCAAAUCUGUUGGUGUUUGUGUUCAUUUUAU